GAAGAAGGCUUCGGGUUGUAAAGCACUUUUGUCCGGAAAGAAAUCCUGAGGGCUAAUAUCCUUCGGGGAUGACGGUACCGGAAGAAUAAGCACCGGCUAACUACGUGCCAGCAGCCGCGGUAAUACGUAGGGUGCGAGCGUUAAUCGGAAUUACUGGGCGUAAAGCGUGCGCAGGCGGUUUGUUAAGACCGAUGUGAAAUCCCCGGGCUCAACCUGGGAACUGCAUUGGUGACUGGCAAGCUAGAGUAUGGCAGAGGGGGGUAGAAUUCCACGUGUAGCAGUGAAAUGCGUAGAGAUGUGGAGGAAUACCGAUGGCGAAGCAGCCCCCUGGGCCAAUACUGACGCUCAUGCACGAAAGCGUGGGGAGCAAACAGGAUUAGAUACCCUGGUAGUCCACGCCCUAAACGAUGUCAACUAGUUGUUGGGGAUUCAUUUCCUUAGUAACGUAGCUACGCGUGAAGUUGACCGCCUGGGGAGUACGGUCGCAAGAUUAAAACUCAAAGGAAUUGACGGGGACCCGCACAAGCGGUGGAUGAUGUGGAUUAAUUCGAUGCAACGCGAAAAACCUUACCUACCCUUGACAUGGUCGGAACCUUGGAGAGAUCUGAGGGUGCUCGAAAGAGAAC
rnacentral:rRNA from 1 species